rnacentral:rRNA from 1 species
UGCAGGUUACCCGCGACAGGACGGAAAGACCCCAUGGAGCUUUACUGCAGUUUGAUAUUGAGUAUCUGUACCACAUGUACAGGAUAGGUAGGAGCCUACGAAGUCGGGACGCCAGUUUCGACGGAGGCGAUGUUGGGAUACUACCCUUGUGUUAUGGCUACUCUAACCCGGAUAGGUUAUCCCUAUCGGAGACAGUGUCUGACGGGCAGUUUGACUGGGGCGGUCGCCUCCUAAAAGGUAACGGAGGCGCCCAAAGGUUCCCUCAGAAUGGUUGGAAAUCAUUCGCAGAGUGUAAAGGUAUAAGGGAGCUUGACUGCGAGAGCUACAACUCGAGCAGGGACGAAAGUCGGGCUUAGUGAUCCGGUGGUUCCGCAUGGAAGGGCCAUCGCUCAACGGAUAAAAGCUACCCUGGGGAUAACAGGCUUAUCUCCCCCAAGAGUUCACAUCGACGGGGAGGUUUGGCACCUCGAUGUCGGCUCGUCGCAUCCUGGGGCUGUAGUCGGUCCCAAGGGUUGGGCUGUUCGCCCAUUAAAGCGGCACGCGAGCUGGGUUUAGAACGUCGUGAGACAGUUCGGUCUCUAUCCGCCGCGCGCGUUAGAAACUUGAGGAAGGCUGUCCCUAGUACGAGAGGACCGGGACGGACGAACCUCUGGUGUGCCAGUUGUUCCGCCAGGAGCACCGCUGGUUAGCUACGUUCGGAAGGGAUAACCGCUGAAAGCAUCUAAGCGGGAAGCCUGUUCCAAGAUGAGGUUUCUCACCCCCUCGAGG